AAGUGAGGACAUGUUUGUGUCCGCCUGUCUUGUGCAACGUUUAUUGUGGAAUUCUGGCACAUUUUGUGUGUGCCAGAUGCCUUUUUUUCUACUCAUUUCAUUUUAUUACUGUAUUCUAACGACAAUCAAAAAGAACCUUGA
rnacentral:misc_RNA from 1 species